GACGAACGCUGGCGGCGUGCUUAACACAUGCAAGUCGAGCGGUAAGGCCCUUUCGGGGUACGACGAGCGGCGAACGGGUGAGUAACACGUGGGUGACCUGCCCUCCAGCUCUGGGAUAAGCCUGGGAAACCGGGUCUAAUACUGGAUAUGACUCCAUGACGCAUGUUGUGGGGUGGAAAGCCUUGUGCGGCUGAGGAUGGGCCCGCGGCCUAUCAGCUUGUUGGUGGGGUGAUGGCCUACCAAGGCGACGACGGGUAGCCGGCCUGAGAGGGCGACCGGCCACACUGGGACUGAGACACGGCCCAGACUCCUACGGGAGGCAGCAGUGGGGAAUCUUGCGCAAUGGGCGAAAGCCUGACGCAGCGACGCCGCGUGAGGGAUGACGGCCU
rnacentral:rRNA from 1 species